rnacentral:rRNA from 1 species
UACAGAGGGGGCAAGCGUUGUUCGGAAUUACUGGGCGUAAAGGGCGCGUAGGCGGCCGUUUGCGUCGGAUGUGAAAGCCCGGGGCUCAACCUCGGAACGGCAUUCGAUACGGGACGGCUGGAGACCGGGAGAGGAGAGUGGAAUAGCCAGUGUAGAGGUGAAAUUCGUAGAUAUUGGCUGGAACACCGGUGGCGAAAGCGGCUCUCUGGCCCGGUUCUGACGCUGAGGCGCGAAAGCGUGGGGAGCAAACAGG